CCGGAAGAGGUGGUGCCGUUGCUUUCACGCAUGCGCUGUACGUCUGCACAUGCGUAGUGCUCCAGGGCGGCGGAACAGGGUGACCCUGAGUAUUGAGACCCCGCAGCGAUGCUCAGCAGAUUUCUAGGCCCGCGCUACCGAGAACUGGCCAAAAACUGGUGAGGAGGCCGCCCGCCCGCCAUUCCACCCGUGUGCUCUGGGGACUGGGGGAAACUGAGGCUGUGACAGGCAAAGUAUUCGGGGGACACAGUGCAGGUGGAAGAUCCGAGGUCCAACUGUAAUCACCUUCGUUCAGUGUCUGAGCUGCUCCGAGCCUCAGUUUCCCCAGCCUGACCUGGGUAGCCUUGUGCGGCCCCGAGUGGGUACCCUGGGCUCCUACGGCUCGGAACUCCGACUUUCAGCCUAGCAACUUGGCGGCCGUUGGCUUUGAUUUUGCGGUCUUUAAUGUCCUUUAAAAAAAAAAAAAAAAACCUGUUUCUGUAAUCCAAGUUGGUCUGGAACUCCCACCAAUCAUCCUGCCUCCUCACGCUUGUUGAACGGUGGAAUAGCGGGCACCCACCAUCACCUGAGACUUUUGUUUCUGUGCAUGUCUGUGUACCAUAUACGUGCCCAGUAUGCGCAUACGAGAAGAGGGCAUCGGCUCCCCAGGAUCCCCACAGCCGGCAUGUGGGGCACUGUGGGUGCCGUGGGACUGGUGUGGGUCACGGACUGGCGGCUGAUCCUGGACUGGGUGCCGUACAUCAAUGGCAAGUUUAAGAAGGACGAUUAGGCAGCCCCCUCCCCCACCACAGGCCUCGAUGGUAGCAUGCGCUGAGGCCUCAGAAACAGCUUAGUCCUGUGGAGGACACGGAGGAAGAAGUCUGCAUCGAUCUGGGGAGCUCCUGCCUUGACGGGUGCAGCAUUAAACCUUGUUCGUACGCCUUGGACGCCUGGCUCCCUCUACGUCAUCUCCCUUGAGGAUUUCCCAGCUCAAGAAUCCUUUGAGCUCCCAACACUUGCAUGUCGGGAGAGUCUAAUGUCAGGCAGAAAUCCUUAUUACACUCAAGUAUUUUCUGGAUGGAAACGGCACACUGUGUUCUCUGCAGCUGGUCCGAUAAGUCACUCUCGGCUUCAAUGCUUUUAAAUUAUUCAGGGCCCCUAUGGCAACCAUACCCAACCAGAGCAGGGCUUCUUCCUUCCUGGUUCUGUCUGUUUCUAAGGCAAAGUUUUAUAUAACCCAGGCUGGCCUCAAACUCAGUAUAUACCAAAGUCUGACCGUAAACUUCUCAUCCUCCUGCAUCUGUCUGUCAAGUGCUAGGGCAGCACUGCCAUGCCUGGUGUUCGUGGUGCCGAGGAUGGCCCCUGGGGCUUCUCGUGUGCUAAGUGGGAGGUGUGGCAGAUGACCCACAGCCACAGCCUCUGGUAAAACUGCUGUGCCCGUCCCGGCACAUACAUCUCCGUGCUUCAGAAGCUGGUACAGUCAGAUUCCCAGGAGUCCGACAGUGUGGACUAAGUGAUUCCUUGAGACAAGAACAGUGGCACUUGUCUUCCCAGCACUCUGGACAUUAGGUCAAGAGGACCAAGAGUUCCAGGUCAUCCUCUGACACCCGGAGAGGCCAGCCUAGGCUACUUAAGAC
rnacentral:lncRNA from 1 species